rnacentral:ncRNA from 1 species
AAGAGACAUCAGCAAUAAUUCACCUUGGACAAUUUAUUUGUGAAAAUGUAUGUCUAUUUAAAUCACACAUAAAAAACACGUGCGCCAAUGCUUUUCAAGGGAACUUAUUAUGCUUAUUUCCUUCGAUAAAGCAUUUCACUCUUCUACAGGUCUCCGCAAAGUCGUAAGACCAUGUAUGGGAGCUUACGCCUGCCCAGUGCCAGAAGGUCAAGGAAGUUGGUGAACUGAUGACAGGGAACCCAGCGACGAAACCCGAUGAACGCGCCGUAACUAUAAUGGUCCUAAAGGUAGCGAAAUUCCUGUCGGGUAAGUUUCAACCCGCACGAAAGGCGUAACGAUCUGGGCACUGUCUC